AAGAGACUCAAGCUGGUUUCUAGCCAUGGAGUCGCCGAUGAAAGCUAGAUGCUUGUCUCUCAUAAGAUCAAGAAACCGGUUAGCGUCGAAUCUUGGUUGAACCAUUGUAGAGUGGACCAGUCUCGUCCCUGACCCAUUUCCCUUGCGUAUAAUCGCAUAAAGUUCGAUGUUACCUUGAGAAGAAGAAGAAGAGAAGCUGGUGAUCACAACGUGAGCUGAAGAGUCUUGGAGAGAGGUGUCAUCAAUGGAGGAGGAGAAAGGAUUAUUAAAACAGAGUCGAAACAGAGCUAAUGAGACGAGACGAAAGGACGAGUGGUUCGAUGGUUUUGGACCAGUGGGAUGUAAAUAUUUUAUUCAAAUCUUUUUAAUUAUUAAUCUAUCCAUGUCAAUGCUGUUGUUGUUAUGCUUAAUUUUCAAUAUUUUCCACAUGAUAUUGUAUUAUUCAUACAGUUG